AUGUUGAGGAUGGAGGUGUCCAAGGUGGCAGCCAACCUCUCCCUCUCCUCCUCCAGGAACCACCGCCCGCCGCCCAAGUGGUCGCCCAAGCCGGGGAAGUUCUUCCGCGAGCGAGACCUCAUCACCGGGAACCGGAUGCCGAUGCCGGACAUCACCGACAAGAUGCCGCCACGCGCGUUCCUGCCGAGGGACAUCGCCGCCAAGAUCCUGUUUGAGGCGGGUGCCGUGUCUGCGCUGUUCGGGGCGCCGUCGGGCAACGCGAUGAGGCAGGUGGUGGCGUCAACAGUGGAUGAGUGCGCGCGCCCACCCAGCCGAGGCGAGACCAAGCGGUGCGCGACGUCGGCCGAGGACAUGCUGGACUUCGCCGUGGAGAUGCUCUGGGACAAUGUGGCCGUGCGCAGCACCGAGUCUGCAGCUGGCAGCAGCUGGGACAUCAGGAUCGGUAGGGUGGCCGGCGUCGCCGGCGGACACGCGACGCGGUCCGUGUCGUGCCACCAGAGCAUGUUCCCGUACCUGGUGUACUACUGCCACUCGGUGCCGAGCAUGCGGGUGUACGAGGCCGAGAUCCUGGCCACCGACUCCGGGUGGAAGAUCAACCGUGGCGUGGCGAUCUGCCACCUCGACACGUCGGACUGGAGCCCGGGUCACGGCGCAUUCGCCGCGCUUGGCGGGAAGCCGGGUGAGAUGGAGGUGUGCCAUUGGAUCUUGCAAGGGGACAUGGUUUGGACGGUGGCCGAUUGA
rnacentral:rRNA from 1 species